rnacentral:lncRNA from 1 species
UUUUUUUACAUUAAUUUAGAUUAUGGGUAGGCUUAACAAAAAAAUAUUGGAUGAACUAAAUAAAUAUAGACAUAAUACACUGUAAAAAAAAUUAAUUGAGUCCACCCUUACCCAAGGAUGGACUCGCCCCUGGUUGUUGGAAAAGCAUCUUUGGAGAAUACUUACGCCUCAUGACUUACUUCUAUCUAAAAUUAUUAAAGCACAAUAUUUUCCGCAAGGAAACAUUUUUAGGGCAGCGAGCGGAGACGAGGCCUUCAACAACGUGGGUGUAAUUUACUUGAAGCUAGACUUUCUGUUGGGCAAUUCGACAAAUGGUGGGAAUUUUGCCAAAAUAUCAUAAUAUGUUACUCGAUUUUGAUCAUAUUAGAGUCGAAAUUUUAGAAAACUGCAUGAGAUAAGAGUUGCAGCCCUUCAUGCAAUCAACCAAAGAUCGGUCAAAAUGAUGGCAAUCCAUUAAUGUUUCUGAAAGGGACAACUGUCUGCAAGUAGUGAAGGCUCUCAAAUUUGGUGAUCUCUAUUGUUCCUCGUCGUUUGGAGCUUACUACUUCUUUUGUUCAUUGCAAUUUUCCGUUCGUUAAGCGCUUGGGCAAUGUUUUGUCCCACGAGAUAGCUACUAAUUUUGAUUCUUGUUGUACUUAAGGCGUCAACCUUCCAUCCUUUUCGAGUUUUCGACUAAUUAUGC